rnacentral:lncRNA from 1 species
AGGCUUGUGGCAGAUGAAUAAUGUCUGUAAGAUUGCAGAGGAGAGGAGACUGAAUCAGAGAGGAGACUGACCCUAACUCCAGGCUUCGGUGCAAAACCCUCCUGUUAGGGGAUUGGCAGAGUCCCUCAAAAUCACGUUUAAAUCGCUCUGCAGAGCGCGGUGCAGAGCGCCAUCUGCUGGACAAAACAUAAAAAACUGAGUUUGUUCUAAGAUCCUGGAGGAUUGCUUCAAAGCAGCUUUUCUUGGAAAAGAGCAGCAGAUGAAAUCCAAACUCCUUGGCAUGGUGAGCCUAGCGCCUGCUCUAUGUGAUCUCUUCCUCACAUGCCUCACUGAAGCACCAGGACUUCCCAGGGUAGAAAGCAGCAAGAAUGGGCAGCAAGGAAAUGCAGCCAGGUGGCCACCUGAACUCCAGAGUCCACCUUCACUGUUUGCAGAAAAUUUUGAGCAUGAAUGCCAUGAGCUCAGUUAUAAUCAUCCUGGCUACUCAUUCAUUUAUUCUGUCUUCUAAAGAUGUUUAAUGCCAACACUGUUCUGACAAUAUGCCUGGGAUCUUCAGCU